rnacentral:rRNA from 1 species
AACGAACGCUGGCGGCAUGCCUAACACAUGCAAGUCGAACGAGACCUUCGGGUCUAGUGGCGCACGGGUGCGUAACGCGUGGGAACCUGCCCUUUGGUUCGGAAUAACUCCCCGAAAGGGGUGCUAAUGCCGGAUAAUGUCUUCGGACCAAAGAUUUAUCGCCUUUGGAUGGGCCCGCGUUGGAUUAGCUAGUUGGUAGGGUAAAAGCCUACCAAGGCGACGAUCCAUAGCUGGUCUGAGAGGAUGAUCAGCCACACUGGGACUGAGACACGGCCCAGACUCCUACGGGAGGCAGCAGUGGGGAAUAUUGGACAAUGGGCGAAGGCCUGAUCCAGCAAUGCCGCGUGAGUGAUGAAGGCCUUAGGGUUGUAAAGCUCUUUUACCCGGGAUGAUAAUGACAGUACCGGGAGAAUAAGCUCCGGCUAACUCCGUG